UACGCAGGAAUGUUCCGUGUCCAAGCUCCGCGUUUCGAUUGGAAUGCGCUCGAGGCGACGGCGCGGCAAGUGCGCGACAGGAACGCGGCAAGGCGACAUCAGCGGCGCCGGAAGAGACGCGACGGAGGUGAUGAUGACCAAAUUGGAUUCAGCAGCAAUUGACCUGUACAAGAUCGGAGGUUGACCACAUCCUCAGAGGCGCUGCAAAGAAGAAUUUUGCAUUGGCCACCUGGGCUGGGACGCACUUCAGGUUAUUUCAACUAACAUCCUAGACCAAUAUAUGUGUAAAAUCUACCUCACUCGGCAUCCAUUGCAGCCUGGUCAUCCCGGAAGGGGGAUUCCCCGACCCAUCUGCUGCCACUUCCCAAGGUUUCUAAGGUUUCCAUGGAUGUUUUCUUUUUUCCUGUCCUCGUGGGUGUUAAGGGGAUGUCAUUAAUAUGUGACAUCUGAGGUCAUGUAAUCCCUUUGAGACCUUUCUUUUAGGGCUGUAUAAUUAAAUUUGACUGAACUUGACCUAAAGUGUUACAGCAUCGCAACGUAGGUGUUACUUAGCAUUAGCAUUAAGCUAUCAGACUGAACGACGAAGACUUGGUGUUAUAGCAUCCCAACGUAGGCAUUACUUAGCAUUAGCAUUAAGCUAGCAGACUGAUAGACAAAGCUAUGUGUGUCUGUUUUUAUUUUGUUUAGUUUGGCAUUCAACACCCAGAAGCCUUUUUUUAAAGAAAUGUUGACUAUUUCAUAAAGUUCCUAAUCAUGAAGUAAGCAGAGUUUUAUUUUUAAACAAACAGUUUGAAAGGUGAGUCACUCCUAUCUCAAUGCAUUACAAUAAAUUCUUUUAGUCAUGUCUCAUUUAGGCCUUGAACAAAAAAAAAAAAAGUGUUGAGGAAACCCUGUAAACUCAACUAAGCGCCCGUGCAGAAAUCAUGAUGAAAUCUGGGACUCUGUUUAUUUUGUGACUCAUCUGGUACAAUGUUUUAAGAGCAAUACUGGCAAGCAUUUUGUCACUCCUCCCUCCUCGCAAUGCUGGUCUGCUUAUUUGGAUGUCAAUCUUUUGUCUUCUUUGUCCCUGCAAGACCGGUCUGUCCAGGCCUUUGUAGACUCACAUAUACGGAGAUAACCUAAGCUCUCAGUUGCUAUAGAAACAAUGUGAGGUAAACAUGUAAGAAAGUAAGUAAAAGAGAGUCCAGUGCAUCCAACUGGAACACACAACAGAUUGAAUUUCUUCACAAAACGGUGAUACACUCACCAAGGCCUAAGGGAUCCAUCCUGGCACAUAACUCAUCUGUACAAUAUUGAAAUAGAUGAUUAUAUUCCUUAAUGUGAGGACAAUUGAUGUUUGAAACGAAGUACACAUCCCGGAAUAGGAGGGUGUGGCUUUCAUUGAACAGAGAAAAA